AAAACAUGUCUCUUUGAUUUAUUUUAAUAAAGAGUUGGGCCUGCUCGGUGAUUAAUAUUUAACAGCUGCGGUAUUAUAACUGUACUAAGGUAGCAUAAUAAUUUGCCUUAUAAAUUGAGGCUAGAAUGAAUGGUUUGACGAAAAUUAUACUGUCUCUGUCUUAUUUAUUAGAAGUUAAUUUUUAUAGUGAGAAAGCUUGGAUAAUUUAAAGGGACGAAAAGACCCUAUUGAGCUUUAUAUUAUACUUUAAAAUUAUUUAUUGUUUUUAUUUAAAUAUAAUUUUGGUUGGGGUGAUCAAGGAAUAAAUAAUUAAUUUUUAACUUCCUUAAUUUGUUUAUAGUUAUAUGAAUAAACCAAAUUUUUUGCUUAGAAGAUAAGUUACCAUAGGGAUAACAGCGUAAUUUUUUUUGAAAGUUCAUAUUGAAAAAAGAGAUUGCGACCUCGAUGUUGGAUUAAAAUAACCUUAAGGUGAAGAGGCUUUAAUUGGUGAAUCUGUUCGAUUUUUAAAAUUUUACGUGAUC
rnacentral:rRNA from 1 species